ACGGGAUUAGCUCAGUUGGUAGAGCACCGGUCUCCAAAACCGGGUGUCGGGAGUUCGAGUCUCUCAUCCCGUGCAA
rnacentral:tRNA from 1 species